AAUGAACGCUGGCGGCAGGCCUAAAACAUGCAAGUCGAACGCCCUAGCAAUAGGGAGUGGCGCACGGGUGAGUAACACGUGGGAAUAUGCCUUUUGGUACGGAACAACGUCUGGAAACGGACGCUAAUGCCGUAUGGUCCCUUCGGGGUAAAGAUUUAUCGCCAAAAGAUUAGCCCGCGUCUGAUUAGCUAGUUGGUGAGGUAAUGGCUCACCAAGGCGACGAUCAGUAGCUGGUCUGAGAGGACGAUCAGCCGCACUGGGACUGAGACACGGCCCAGACUCCUACNNNNNGCAGCAGUUNNGANNAUUGGACAAUGGACGCGAGUCUGAUCCAGCCAUGCCGCGUGAGUGAUGAANGCCUUNGGGUUGUAAAGNUCUUUAGUCNNNNANUAUAAUGACNGUNGUGGAAGAAUAAGCCCCGGCUAACUUNGUGCCAGCAGCCGCCGUAACA
rnacentral:rRNA from 1 species